ensembl:lncRNA
GGAGCCUGGAAGCCCAAGGUCAAAGUGUCAGCAAGGGUGGUUUCUCCAACACCUCUCUCCUUGGCUUGCAGACACCUUCUUUCUGGUUCUCAAAGUGCAUGGCUUUUCCUCUGUGCAUACUUUUCUAAUGGCGUGUUUUAUUGUUGUUUGAUUGGGCUAAAUGGCUAUAUUAGAGAAAGCCAGGAUUACAAAGGAUUUGGGAGUUGACAUCUGGGCCUUUCUUUUUCCCAAAGAGGAGACCAUUCUUCCGAAGGUUUUCGGAUUUGCCUAGUCGUGUAGCAGAAAGAACUCAGAUGUGCCUAUUUGAGUCCCGUCCAGCGUCUCCCAGCCUCCCUCUCCAUUCUUCAUCAAUAUCCACUCCAUCCCCUUUUCUGCCCUCCAGUCCACUUCUCUGUCUUCCCACCCUCCUGCUACCUCCUGCCUGGAUCAUCCCUGUGGGACAAUUAACGUGGACAGAGGAGCAUCAGGAGUAACCACAAGCCGAUGCUGAAUGACAAGUAUAAACUCCACCUAUCUGUACAGUGUGUUUCUGAGAAAAGUGUACUAAACAGUCAAGUCAAAUGUGUUUAAGACAUAACAUGAGCUGAUGGAAGGGGCAUGAGACGCUUAUGACAAAGUCUUGGCUCAGAGGGUUCUUCAGAGAAGCAGUUGAUUCUAGGGCUGGGGUAGGCAGAAUGUAAUUGAGCCUGGAAAAUUGUGUGUCAGAAAAUAAAGAAG